rnacentral:rRNA from 1 species
CCUACGGGAGGCUGCAGUGAGGAAUAUUGGUCAAUGGGCGUAAGCCUGAACCAGCCAAGUCGCGUGAGGGAUGAAGGUUCUAUGGAUCGUAAACCUCUUUUAUAAGGGAAUAAAGUGCGGGACGUGUCCCGUUCUGUAUGUCCCUUACGAAUAAGGAUCGGCUAACUCCGUGCCAGCAGCCGCGGUGAUACGGAGGAUCCGAGCGUUAUCCGGAUUUAUUGGGUUUAAAGGGUGCGUAGGCGGCCUGUUAAGUCAGCGGUGAAAGGCUGUGGCUCACCCACGGAAUUGCCGGUGAGACGGGGAGGGUUGAGUGUGUUGGAGGCAGGCGGAAUGCGGGGUGUAGCGGUGAAAUGCGUAGAUAUCACGCAG